UACGUAGGGGGCGAGCGUUGUCCGGAUUUAUUGGGCGUAAAGAGCGUGUAGGCGGCCAGCUAGGUCUGCUGUGAAAACUCGAGGCUCAACCUCGAGACGUCGGCGGAAACCAUCUGGCUAGAGUCCGGAAGAGGAGAGUGGAAUUCCUGGUGUAGCGGUGAAAUGCGCAGAUAUCAGGAAGAACACCGGUGGCGAAAGCGCUCUGCUAGGCCGCAACUGACACUGAGGGACGAAAGCUAGGGGAGCGAAUGGG
rnacentral:rRNA from 1 species